rfam:Loxodonta africana unplaced genomic scaffold scaffold_8, whole genome shotgun sequence.
GACAUGGUGGUUCAGUGCUAGAAUUCUUGCCUUCAGUGUGGGAGACCUGGGUUCAAUUCUCAGCCAAUGCA